UAGGGAAUCUUCGGCAAUGGACGAAAGUCUGACCGAGCAACGCCGCGUGAGUGAAGAAGGUUUUCGGAUCGUAAAACUCUGUUGUUAGAGAAGAACAAGGACGUUAGUAACUGAACGUCCCCUGACGGUAUCUAACCAGAAAGCCACGGCUAACUACGUGCCAGCAGCCGCGGUAAUACGUAGGUGGCAAGCGUUGUCCGGAUUUAUUGGGCGUAAAGCGAGCGCAGGCGGUUUCUUAAGUCUGAUGUGAAAGCCCCCGGCUCAACCGGGGAGGGUCAUUGGGAACUGGGAGACUUGAGUGCAGAAGAGGAGAGUGGAAUUCCAUGUGUAGCGGUGAAAUGCGUAGAUAUAUGGAGGAACACCAGUGGCGAAGGCGGCUCUCUGGUCUGUAACUGACGCUGAGGCUCGAAGGCGUGGGGAGCAAACAGG
rnacentral:rRNA from 1 species